rnacentral:rRNA from 1 species
UUACCCGGUCUUGACAUAGUAAGAACUUUCCAGAGAUGGAUUGGUCCUUCGGGAACUUACAUACAGGGGUUGCACGGCGGUGUUCACCUUUUGUCGUGAGAUGUUUGGGUAAAUCCCCCAAAGAGCGCAACCCUUUUCUUUUUUUUCCCCCGGGUUCAGCCGGGAACUUUAAGGAGACUGCCAGUGACAAACUGAAGAAGGGCGGGAAGGACUUCAAGUCAUCAUGCCCCUAACGACCAGGGCUACACACGUGCUCCAAUGGUCGGUACAAAGGGUUGCUACCUAGCGAGAGGAAGCUAAUCUCAAAAAGCCGAUCGUAGUCCGGAUGGGAGUCUGCAACUCGCCUCCAGAAGUGGGAAUCGCUAUAU